ensembl:lncRNA
CAUCGGGCUAAUAAUGCUAGCCAGACCCUCCUGGGACUCUGCUGUUAGUUAUGAAAAAAGCAAUCCUGUUCUCCUAAUCUUCAGUAUGCUCUAUAGUCAGGGGUUUUGAAAGUAAGUUUAAAAAGUAAAAGAUUAUUUUGGCUAGCACUUCCCUGGUGGUAUAGCGGGUAGGAAUCUGCCUGCCAAAGUAUGGGACACGGUUUGGUCCCUGGUUUGGGAGGAUCCCACGUGUCGCGGGGCAGCUAAAGCUAUGCACACAGCGACUGAUCCCGCGCCCUAGAGUCCGGCAACGAGAGAAGCUGCUGCUUCGGAACCCUGCACCCUGCAAUGAGAGAGUAGCCCCCCUUGCUGCAACUAGAGAAAGACCCAGUGCCACUGCAGACACAUAAAUUACUUAAAAUAUAUUUUAAAAAGAUGAUAUUGGCUAGCAGUUCGGAAAAAAGUUUUCAAGAGGGCUCUGACACUCUCUUCUGAAGUAUUUUGAGGCUGUUCAGUUCAGUCGCUCAGUCGUGUCUUACUCUUUGCGAGUGAGGCUGUUACAAAGAAAAAAACUAUUUUAAAAUUUGAGAUGCGUAUGAGACACAGCGCAGCUGGGUUGAGGUGGGUGCCAAGUCUUGCGGACCCCUUUAAUUCAUUCCGAGACAUGGCAUUAACCUUGGCUUUGCUAAAUAAUACCUUUAAACAGGACGUGAAUCACUGUGGUCAUUACGCUGGUGUCGUUCGUCAUCACGCUGAGUCCUGAGUGCUCAAGGUUUUGAGUAAUAACUGUAUAGUCACUGAUGACGGAGACCAAGUUUACAUGUGUGUUUUAUUCAUGAUUUUCUGUCAAAUGUCAAAAUCCGAGAGGAGCCCUGAGCAUCCCGGGAAGGGUCGGCGAGCACACGCAGAUUCUCGGAGGGCCACACCGUGUCCUUGGAGGGUGGAGGUCACCAAGAAGAGAAUGAGGCCGGGAUACCCAAACCCAGAGGGGAGGUCGGCUUCAGCCUUCUAGAAGACAGGAGAGAAGGAAAGCGCGUGCGUGCGUGCACGUCCACCUGGGGUCCGUACUGCUUCUUCCGCUGGUAGCUGUGGCGCCUUCAGCGUAAGACGGGAGUCUUCUGGGCCCCGAGUCUCUCAUCUGUGGAGCGGGGCUGAGACCGCGGCGCCUGUCUCUUGGGUGAGCUGGUGAGGAUAAAAUACUACAAGCUGCGGGAAUGACAUGCUACCUGAGAGCUGUGAGAGUAACAAAGCAAAGAUAAAACUCAAACUCAGUGAGAACAAAAAGCAGACUGAGAGGGCUUCUUGUCCUCCAGGCAGACGGAGCCAUCAGGCUGUAUGUCGAGCGAUGUUAAAGGUAAAUUCUUCCCCGAGUCUACAGCAGGCACAGGGGGACCUCGUGGAGAGAGUGUUCGUCUCGAGGAGGGGACGUGUGUAGGGUUCCAAGUGUUUCUGGGUCAGUACCUUGGGCACGCUGACAGGUAAAAAGACCAGGGCGUUGGACCGGCCGAGUGGAUCGAUAGCUCUUUAGGUGUCUGCCAAUCACCCAUUAGGAAGGAAGACCAGGUGGAUGAGCCCCAGCAGCUUCUCAGCUGCUCUAACGACUGUGCAUCCCCCUCCCUAAGUGGGAAAUGGGAGGCAGGGCGGUGGGGAGGACUCCAGAUCAGGAAAGCACGGGGGUAUGUUCAGAACAGGGGCUUCCCAGGUGGCUCAGAGGUAAAGAACCCGCCUGACAACACGGGAGAUGUGGGUUCCAUCCCUGGGUCGGGAAGAUCCCCUGGAGGAGGGCAUGGGGACCCACUCUGGUAUUCUUGCCUGGGAAACCCCAUGGACAGAGGAGCCUGGUGAGCCACAGUCCAUGGGGUUGCAGAGUGGGACACGACUGAGCGACUGAGCAUGCUCAUACACGUUCAGAGCAGCAGAGAGGCAGCAGAGGAGGCUGGGCUGCAACAGCAUUCACAGGACCGGAUGACAUCGCUGUGAACCAAGCCAGUGAUCAGACCACAGGCUCCAGACUGUCACCUGCCCAAAAGUCAGCUCCGGGAGGAUUUGCCAGAUCAACACGGGGGUGUCAAAGCAUCAUGCUUCUGUUGCAAAUGUCACCUUUCCCACUGAUUAACUUUGAAAUCCAAGCAUUCUCAGCUGCAGGGAAAGGUUGAUGGAGGUUAUUCAUUUAUUUUUAAAAAUUCUUUCAAUACACAGCCAAUUUUGAACUAAAAAUCAGAAUUAUCCUUCUGAAUCUCGCAUUCUAAUGCUCCUCCCGGAUCGCCCACUUUCUUCCACGCUGCAGAUUUCUUUGGUCAUCGCACAAAACCUGAGGCCGUGCUGCUGGAUGUGUGGUGUGCUCGGGCGUGGGUGCAUGGGGGGCCUUCAGGGUCAGGAUUUUUGUGUGCACGCGUUUUUUCCCCAGGAAGAAGGUCCAGGGCUUUCAAAACUUCCUCUCCAGGGGAUCUCUGAGGUCCCUUCCCCUCGUGUAAAAGCACAAAUAGAGAGCAUGUGACGUGGUUCUGCAUGGAGGUGUCGUUUCUGGUAAGGCCGAGAGGUGGCAGGGUAACCACCAGCCUGCAGCGGCCCCAUUUUCCCGACCGGAGAGAAGCCCCGUGAAAGGAGAUCCUGUCUGUAACCUCGCUUCCUCUUGCACAGACUGUGGAUACAGGGCCCAUCAAACCGCCCUGAAACAUCCCUGGAGGGGGAGAGCAAGGCUGAAGGGGCAGCCUGGGGUUUUAAAGGUCACAAACAUCCAGAGACAACGUUUGGUGGAACAGUGGUAAAGAGCUCGCCUGGCAAUUCAGGAGAUGCAGGAGAUGCCUGUUCGAUCCCUGGGUUGGGAAGACCCCUGGAGAAGGGCAUGGCAACCCCCUCCAAUGUUCUUGCCUGGAGAAUCCCAUGGACAGAGGAGCCUGGUGGGGUCACAAAGAGUUGGGCGUGACUGAAGUGACUUAGCAUGCACGCACGUGUUUCCCUGUGGAAUGGACUUUACAGCAGACCUUGGAGGUCACUUGACAACUACUCUGGGCCUCCGUGCAAGUAGGUUCUUGGGAUCUGGGACUUCUGUUUUGCAGGGUCAUGAGAUGAGCCCCUGUGUUGUCAUUUGCUUUGGGGAGUGGGACUCUGGAAUCCUGCUGGGUGAUUGCCACACUUGCCCUGCUCACGCGGUGAAGCCAUCCGUGUGAAUAGAGUUUGGAGAAGAUGGUUCAAUGGAAAGGAUGCAUUUGUCUCACUUGCCUGGAAAUGCAGUGAGUGGUGCCUGACUUAACUAACCCAGGCCUGCAGUUGAGGCUCUCUGGCCGCUGGAGUGGAGAAACCGGGAAUAUUAAGUAAAACAGCACGAGCUCCCGUUAGCGGUAAAACCACGGACUGUGCCUCCUCUGGUACAGCUCUUUUGCCCACAGCUAUCAAUAAUCAUUUAGCAAAUCCUGUCUCGGUUUAUAUGUGCACCAGUAUAUGUUAUUAAGGGGAAUAACCAAGAUUAAUUUAUUUAGAAUGUAAGGAGUCAUUUUAUGAAUCAGAUGAUCAUGUUGAUCUAAUGAAACAAAACGAAGGCUGGCUAGUUCCUAGAUGCACAGGGGCGAUUACAACACUGCCUGUCCCUCUUUUUUAUCUGUCGCUUUAAAACAAUGUGGCUGCGUCUGCAGUGUCCUUACGCCAUGACGGGCAGGAUGCCGGGGGAGUGAGCCCUCCUAUGGUUUCUGCUCUGGCACCUGCUUUCAGGAUCUACAUGAAUGAGAG